CCUACGGGAGGCAGCAGUGGGGAAUAUUGCACAAUGGGGGAAACCCUGAUGCAGCGACGCCGCGUGAGUGAAGAAGUAACUCGUUAUGUAAAGCUCUAUCAGCAGGGAAGAAAAUGACGGUACGUGAGUAAGAAGCCCCGGCUAACUACGUGCCAGCAGCCGCGGUAAUACGCAGGGGGCAAGCGUUAUCCGGAUUUACUGGGUGUAAAGGGAGCGUAGACGGCAGUGCAAGUCAGGAGUGAAAGGCGGGGGCUCAACCCUCGGACUGCCCUGGAUACUGUACGGCUUGAGUGCAGGAGAGGUAAGUGGAAUUCCUGGUGUAGCGGUGAAAUGCUUAGAUAUUAGGAAGAACACCAGUGGCGAAGGCAGCUUACUGGACUGUAACUGACGUUGAGGCUCGAAAGUGUGGGUAGCAAACAGGAUUAGAUACCCUUGUAGUC
rnacentral:rRNA from 1 species